CUAGUUGGUGUGGUAAAGGCACACCAAAGCGACUAUCCUUAUCUGGUCUGAGAGGAUGAUCACCCACACUGGGACUGAGACUCGGCCCUUACUCCUACGGGAGGCAGCAGUGGGGAAUAUUGGACAAUGGGCGAAAGCCUGAUCCUGCAAUGCCGCGUGAGUGAUGAAGGCCUUAGGGUUGUAAAGCUCUUUUACCCGGGAUGAUAAUGACAGUACCGGGAGAAUAAGCUCCGGCUAACUCCGUGCCAGCAGCCGCGGUAAUACGGAGGGAGCUAGCGUUAUUCGGAAUUACUGGGCGUAAAGCGCACGUAGGCGGCUUUGUAAGUUAGAGGUGAAAGCCUGGAGCUCAACUCCAGAAUUGCCUUUAAGACUGCAUCGCUUGAAUCCACGAGAGGUGAGUGGAAUUUCGAGUGUAGAGGUGAAAUUCGUAGAUAUUCCGAAGAACACCAGUGGCCAAGGCCGCUCACUGGACUGGUAUUGACGCUGAAGUGCGAAAGCGUGGGGAGCACACAGGAUUAUAUACCCUGGUAGUCCACGCCGUAAACGAUGAUAACUAGCUGUCGGGGCUCUUAGAGCUUCGGUGGCGCAGCUACCGCAUUAAGUUAUCCGCCUGGGGAGUACGCCCGCAAGGUUAAAACUCAAAUGAAUGACGGGGCCCUGCACAAGCGGUGGAGCAGGGGUUUAUUUCGAAGCACCGCGCAGAACUUUACCAGCGUUUGACUUGCCCGGACGAUUUCGGGAGACCGAUCUCUUCCGUUCGGGGAGGGGAACACAGGUGCUGCAUGGCUGUCGUCAGCUCGUGUCGUGAGAUGUUGGGUUAAGUCCCGCAACGAGCGCAACCCUCGUCUUUAGUUGCCAUCAUUUAGUUGGGCACUCUAAGGAAACCGCCGGUGAUAAGCCGGAGGAAGGUGGGGAUGACGUCAAGUCCUCAUGGCCCUUACGCGCUGGGCUACACACGUGCUACAAUGGCGGUGACAGUGGGCAGCAAUCUCGCAAGGGUGAGCUAAUCUCCAAAAGCCGUCUCAGUUCGGAUUGUUCUAUAAAAAUUAAA
rnacentral:rRNA from 1 species